UUUUAGUACUAUAGCAAAUCCCCCAGCCCAGGUAUGUACUUCCUUUUGCCAGCUGAUAUGGUUUGGGUCCCUAACUCGUCUCUGUGUAGAGUCUAUGGGUUGUUUUCUUGUAAAAGAAAAAGUCUCUGGAAGUAUUUUUUUUCUCGGUUAUCAACUUUCAAGCUGCCUCAGAAAUCAUGCAUGUAAUUUGGUAGCUGUGGGUUGAGUUAAAAUUGCUUUCUUGACUAUUAUAGUUUUGAAUUCCUUUGAAG
rnacentral:misc_RNA from 1 species